GACGUAGGGCGCGAGCGUUGUCCGGAUUUAUUGGGCGUAAAGAGCUCGUUAGGUGGUUUGUCGCGUUGUCCCGUGAAAAACUCACAGCUCAACUGUGGGCGUGCGGGCGAUACGGGCAGACGUGGAGUACUGCAGGGGAGACUGGAAUUCCUGGUGUAGCGGUGGAAGUGCGCAGAUAUCAGGAGGAACACCGGUGGCGAAGGCGGGGUCUCUGGGGCCGAAUACU
rnacentral:rRNA from 1 species